GCGUAAUUGGUUUAGUGGUAAAAUUCUCCGUUGCCAUCCGUGCAACGUUCGGGCGGGGAGCCCUGGGUUCGAUUCCCAGAUUUACGCA
rnacentral:tRNA from 1 species